rnacentral:rRNA from 1 species
UAUGUAGGGUGCAAGCGUUAAUCGGAAUUACUGGGCGUAAAGCGUGCGCAGGCGGUGAUGUAAGACAGUUGUGAAAUCCCCGGGCUCAACCUGGGAACUGCAUCUGUGACUGCAUUGCUGGAGUGCGGCAGAGGGGGAUGGAAUUCCGCGUGUAGCAGUGAAAUGCGUAGAUAUGCGGAGGACCCCCGCUGGCGACGGCAAUCCCCUGGGCCUGCACUGACGCUCAUGCACGAAAGCGUGGGGAGCAAACAGG